CUUCUUGAGAGCAAUUUCAACUUCAACAUCAUCAUCUAUAUACUGAAUCAUCAAAAUAAAAAAAAAUUUAUCUAUUUAACCAUAUUAUCAUUCAUACGCCACAUUAUCAUCAAUCAGCCACGUAAUCACCUAUUUUAGUAGUUUAUGCCAUGUAACAUUGGUUAAUAUCAGUAUGAAUUUUUAGUGAAGGAAGUGGCUGGAAUUAAAAGGAAAGAUGAUAUC
rnacentral:lncRNA from 1 species